rnacentral:lncRNA from 1 species
GUAAAAGCAAAUCAGCGUGGUGGGCUGGAUCCCAUGCUAUUUUCCUAGCAGUAGUGGAAGAAUUAAACAAUGAUAAAAGCUCCUAUAUUUUGCUUUUUAUCUACUCAUGGACAAAGGCCUAUGGCUAUGUAAUGAAACCUCCAUAAAAACCCUAAUCAACAGGAUUCCACAUUGAGAGGUUUCAGAUUGGUGAACAUGUCACAAUGCUGGGAGGGUGGUGCACACAGAGAGGACAGGAGCUCUGCACCCCUCACUCCAGACCUGGCCCUGUGCGUUUCUUCCCUUUGGCUGUUCCUGAGUUGUAUCCUUUAUAAUAAACCAGGAAUAGUCAGCUGGGGGCUCUGUUCCACGUUACUCUCACUCUGGACACCAGGCUGACGUGAGAAACACCAACUGGAGUACCGCUGGUUGCUAUGGAGAGAGAAAGAAGUGGGAGAAUUUGUAUUGGCUCUUAAAAUAUCUGCUCCCAUGUCAUUGGUCAAAGCAGGUCCCGUUCCACAUCUAACUUCAAAGAGGAUAUGGAAGUAUACUCCCAUCACGUGUCUGGAAAGAAGGAAACAGGAUGUUUGUGAAGAGCCUGAGAAUACUACACGACUCUUUCAGUUGCAAAUGACAUAAACCAAAUUUUAA